UAUCGUUGUCUCUGAUUGGGAACCAUACAUAGGUAGCCCUUUUUCCCUCUUUCGGUGUGGGAAGUUGACUUUGUUUGUGGCACAUAGCCUUAAGCUUCACGGUUUGUUUUGUAUUGUUUAUUGUUUUGUCGGCGUCAUCAUCUACUAAUAAAAGAAAAUGUACGCUGACGACGCUGCACCUUACAUUUACAUUUAAGUCAUUUAGCAGACGCUCUUAUCCAGAGCACCUUGGUCCACUUCCUUCAUCAGCCGUGACAACUAGACAGACUCAAAAACGGAAAUCGCGCUGGUAAGACUUGACGGGACAAGAUGAACUGGCAACAGACAAAUAGAAAACACUGGUAUAAAUACACAGGGGAAAGGAGACAAAUGGGAGACACCUGGUACGGGGUGGAGACAAGCCCUGAUCUAUUUCACUUGUCUUGUGCAUGACAUUUCCAGGACAACAGUGUGGGACAUGACAUUGAUCAAUAAAGGGUGUGCAUUAGAGGGCCUGCACUUCUUAUAUGGUACUCAUUCUUUUUAGAUCUGUUUUUGCAUUUAAUAAAGGUUCUGGUUUGAUACUUUUCAUUCAGUUGGCGGUCAGCCUAGAACUCUGAGGUUGUACUUAGUGUUGACUUUUGGGUGGAGAAAAUUCUUGUUUGACCUCAUUUUUCCAUGUUCUGUCGGGGUACAGUAUCCCCUAACAUGCCCUCUCAAGUCUCAUAAAUCUGCCUCCAGAAAGGAGGUCAGAGUUCUGGAAUUGUAGGGAAUCGUUUCAGUCAUUCUUGCCAGGGGAAGGCUGCAACGAUGCGUAUAAAAGGCUGUUUUCCUCUCCAGAUAAGUUUUUACGGUUCCUCUGUGACACAUUGGUCAAACACAUUGCCUCAUCUGCAUGUCGUGUCACUGCCAGGGUUAUAAUAUGAGGGUUGUAAGGGUUGCAGACUAGAGCAAUUGAAUCAGGUUAGGUUAGUAUAAUUUUCUGGCACAAAAAGUUAUAUAGACUGCUUAAUUGAAUCAAGCCAGUUGACACAAGACUGGCGAACCUUGGUCUGCUGAUCUACUUGGGUGUCCCAGGAUGUGCUGUCAUGAUGCCGGUGUUGUCACCAGAAAAGCAUGUCCCAGGAAUGUGUACCACCCAGAGACUUAAUGUGGUUUGGACGAGGUAAUGUGUUGGUACAUUAAAAGGCCUCUAUGUGGGGGAAUUGUCCUCCUCCCUGUUCCCCUCUGCCUUCCUCUCCGAUUUGUCCCUGUCUGGUUUCAGCCAUGACUGCAUACGUGUCCCUAGCUCCAACAUUCUCUAAGCAAAAAGACAGACACUGAUGUCACUUGUUGUUGCAGGUUAUGAACCAAAUCAGGCCAUCCCAGUUCUCUUAGCCAUGAGGGAAACAUCUUGCGAAAAUGUUAUUUUGCUUGUGAAUGCAGAAUGUCUCAAUGUCUACGGAGAAUAAUAUCUUAUGUUGUUAUUCCGUUUUGUUAAUAACAAGAUUUCAAUAAGUGCAUGUUUUCUGGACAAGCAAUUGAUCAACAAAGCAACUUGGAUCUAACAAGCAAAGGGGUUGAGCCACAAAUUGAAUUAUUUUCAUUUGAAUAGCCUUUUUGUCCUGAAUAACAGUUGACAUGGACAAAGCUUACACUUUGAAUCUGUGUACUGUGAGUGGGAAUAUGAAGAAUGUAUACUUUAGCUGAGGGCUCAGAUGACUACAUAUUCAGCUUUUUGUGUAAGUGUAUUUGAGUUCAAAAGGAUGAGAGCAUGGCAUUUCAGCGAAUCAUCUGGGUAUAACAUUAUUCAGAGUUUUCUGCUUUUAAUCACUUAAUAAAUGUUGUAGAUAAUCACAGAAACAUAUUAGCUGCCUGAUACUGUGUCAUCAAACAGUUACAAAAGUUAGGUAGCAGUUGUGCCAGCAUCUCUUCCUGGCUUUUAUUGAUUUGGUGUUUCAGAAGAGACAAAAAGCUUCAAAAUGAUGAAGUCAAUGUUUGAGUCAUGUUCUAUCUGCAAACCAUUUUCAGCAAUCUGCCCUGAAUUAGGUUGAUAAAAAUAAAUGAAUAUCUGUCUAGAGAGCAUCACAGUGGCAGCCUAUUAUGCAGAAGAAUCCAGAGUGUUCUACACCUUUUACACCUGGUGCUUAUAUAUCAAAUGUGGUUGUAUGUGACUGGAGGGAGAUAGUGUUGUUGAUUUCAAAAUGAUGUAUUGCAGUGAAAAGACAGCAUUCAUUUAAAAAAAUGCCUUUAUCUACAGGACCAUAGUACACUGUAUCCUGCUGUUGAAAAGACUGAAGUGUGUCUUUGACCUGGACUUAGCCAAUCAUCCUUUGUCGGGAAUCAUUUCUCACACGCUUGUCUGCCUCAGACUCCAGCCAUGCUAGCACAAUGCUUUAGUAUUAUUGGUCCCUAGAGCAACACUCUGAUUUAGUAUUGAGACAGUUGUUGUUUUGAGUUUUAUUGUAAGUUAUUGUUUGGAAGCACAUUGUGUCUGACUGAGAUCCCCUAGGCCUGGCUCCCUGAGCCCUGAACAGCCUUCCUCUGCAAGCUCAUAGUUCUAACGGGAAACGUAUAUCGGCACUCCUAUUUGUUAGUCUUGUGUAAUGGCCGACCUGGUGCACUUGGAAACACAUUUUCCUGAACUUGAGCCUAAUAAACAAGAACGGGAGGCAACUUUAGUAACUUCCCCUUACUUCACCCUCCUUGGCUACAGCCACCUUAUUCAUAUGCUGACAGGAUUUAAGCCUAUGGGUCACAACACUUAAGGGGAUAAGAACAGUAGCUCAGUCCUCCCGAGACUUGCCCUCUGUCCUCUUCAUGAGCUAUGACUUUAACUUUACUAGCUUCAUCAUUGUAAGUUAUUGAACCCUUGUCUGGUAUUUAAACAGGCACUUAGUGAUUCAUGCAUCACUGAAGAACUCAGGUAGACCUGCUUCCCUGAAGUCCGCUUUAUGUGAUAUAUGGGCAGACACUAUGAGAUAUCAUGUUACCUGCACUUGUCCAAAAAUCUUUUCAAUGUUGCGUUAUAUUUAUUUGUUUGUGGAUGUCACGGGCUGUUUUUAAAAUAUACAGAGGGUUUCUGACUCACAUUAUCAUGGGAAGCAUUAGAUGUGAUUGGGAAUUAGCCUGAAUGAGGAAGAGAGCAAAGCCAAUGUUAAUGAAACAUUACAACUUCAGAGAUUAUUAGAGAAUCCAUUCAUUAAAAGGAGAAAGGAACAUUUUAUAGUUGGUUUGAGAUUGAAAGAGUAUCCUCUUUCUUCUAAGAAUCUCUUAUCUAAUUCUAUACUUGAUUGAAAUGUUUGAUAACAUUCUUAUGGUUGUUAGUGUUUGUUUGCAGAUGCAGGUCAUUCCAGGCUGAUAGUGUCUUCCGUGGAGUUUAUGGGAAGUCUUUCCCAGAUGAAUGACUAUGACGUCGUCAUGGAAUUCCGCUCUGACGGCAUGUGGCAAAACAUUGCGUCCAUAUGAAAGUAAUUUGCUGCUCAUGUGCAAAGUCAACAGUCACAUAUAAAACAGUCACAUAUGUUUUACCCUCAAAUAAUUAUUGAAUCAAAUUAUUUGAUUUGUUUUGUAUAGUCAACACUGACAGAGAAAUAUCCAAUUAUGUCUCCAUUCAAGUGUUUUUCACACACCACCGGGAAAGUUAGUUAAUUAGUUAAUUAGUGGAAUAACUAACAGUGAUGUUAAAAUGUGAUUCUAAGACAGUGCUCCAAGCCAUUUAUUGAAGGUCAUUAGAAAGCACUUUAUUGUUAAACACCACUGCAAAUAAUUAUGACAGACAUGAAUGAUUUUAGAUAAAUACAUUGAUUGAAAUGUCGAAACUGGAGCAGUGGAUCAGACUCUUGGGAAUAGCUCAUAAAAUCUUGGGGAAUCUGAUGUUUUAUUUUAUUGCAUACUUUGUCAUGCUUAUUUUAUUAACCACUGACUAAUCAACAAAGUGUGAUAUGUUGACAUGUCCAACAGUCUGUCUGAUUUGUAGAAUUGUUUAUUCUAUAUAUAGUCUGGGAAGAAAUUAGAUGUGCAUCAGCAAAGGCCCAAGGUUACGGUAAUCGUAGCCUGUAGUAGAAAUAUGUCCCAAAAAUGUUAGGUAUUUUUUUCAGUUCCAGAUUAUUUAAAUUGCUCGGCAUCAUUUGUUUUACAAUCAAGGGAAAUGGAUUAGAACACACCAGUAUGAUCCUUGCUGUUGUCACGGCCGAUGCUGGAGGAAGUAGACCAAAGCGCAGAAUGACGCCAACAAAACAAUAAAUACAAAAAACGACCGUGAAGCUUAAGGGCUAUAGUGCCACAAACAAAGACAACUUCCCACACAGAAAGGAGGGAAAAGGGCUACCUAAGUAUGGUUCCCAAUCAGAGACAACGAUAGACAGCUGUCCCUGAUUGAGAACCAUACCCGGCCAAAACAAAGAAAUACAAAAACAUAGAAAAUAGAACAUUGAAUGCCCACCCAAAUCACACCCUGACCAAACCCAAAAUAGAGACAUAAAAAGCUCUCUAAGGUCAGGAGCGUGACAGCUGGGAAUACUCAUAGGAGACUUUUUUUUAUUACACAUUGACAAAAUCAACAGGAGUCUAGGUAAUCAUUACAUAAUUAAUUGUCAUUCAUUUCAUUCACAAACUGUUAUUUUUGUGAUAUAUAACAAAUACAGUUUUAGAAUGUAGCUUAAACCCCACCUAAAUAAAAUUCCACUUAAUAUAUUUCCUUUUGUAAAUUGUAUUGACAUUUAAUUGGGAAUUUUCUAAAGACAAACUUGUCUAACAGAGUACAGUACUGCCAUGAGGAUGCUAUUUCAGAAGAAUUACAGCGAUUAAAUAACUUAAAGCUAUGUCGGCAGCAGAUGUUUCCUACAUUCGCUCCCAACUAAUAUAAUAUAAUCUUAACUGGAACAAUAGUAAAGGGUGAUAUCAUAUUGUAAACCAUUUAACCCUUAUAUUUAAUCUGCAAUUAAUGAAAUAACAUUCAGGAACCCAAAUAAUAAACCAAACUGAUUGAUCUGGUUCAUUGAAUAAUCAGCUCAGUGAAAGGCAAACAGCUCAGUACGAACUGAUCUGAGGAGACUGUAGUGACCUGCAGAAAGUGCAUGCAGUGAUAGCAGUACCAUGUUGGGUCUGCAAAAUGAAUCAACUGACACUUGGAAACAGCAGCUGGAGUGGGAUUUCCUCUUUCAGUAACCUUGGGAAUUGUGGGAAAUGGUCACUCUGGAGCUCAGUUUCCGGAGGCAGAUCAAUACCUAUAUAAUCGUACAGAUCUUUGUAACACAGGACAAUGUCCACAACUGUCUCUCUGAGGAGCAUGUCAAACGUUGACACUUGUGUCAGUCUGGCACCAACUUUGUGUCAAGGCUCUUCUGAAGAAUCUAAUGUUGAGUUGUGAGAAUACCUAGGUCUUGGCUGCUUCUCAGUCCCUGCAUCUACAGCUAUGUCUAUGAAUUUUAAGAGGGAUUCAUUAUCUCCAGCCUGGCCCCAUCCCUCACCUUAUGUGACGUGGUUCCCAUUGAGCAGAAACACAAAUCCCAUAUUUUGUCUUGAAUCUUGCAUUAUCAACGACUCAUUCAUCAUGGGAAGUAAGAUGUAUCCAGGAGGUCUUUGAUACGGACUGGGGGUUUCCAGUAGAGAGUGGAUUACUAUCACAUGAAGAGCUGCUUGGGUUAAAACUCUACAAAGCCUGGAAGUAGAAGACAUAGGAUGAGCAUAAGAAGAUCUUACUGUAUUCUGUGGAAAAGAGGCUGAUGAGAACUAACUAAUUAUUAACUAACCUUUUAGGCUAGCCUAGGCAAUCCAUCCAGGGAUUGAUCAGGUCAAAACCAGCUUUGCUUCAGAAUAAAGUUAACAGAAAGAUGCAUGGGGGUAUAGCUGCUGUCUUGAAAGUUAAUAGCAGCAAGGUUAACAGGGUUGAAAAGUCAAGUUUCGCUUAAAGACAAGUUGCAGUAAGAGCUGGGACCUGUGCCCACAUGGAUUUUGCCUGGACACCUUUAAAACACCAAGACCCAUAAAUUCCAACACGGUUUCAUGGGAAAAAGAUGUGGAGAAUUUUUAUGUUCGCUGCCAUAGUUUUAUUAUUGAAAACCAACAUAUCAGGGUUAUAAAUCAUUGUUCCAGCACUGGAAAGACUGUGGUGUGACAAUCUGCACUUCUACUGUAGUAAAUUAUACUUUUAUAACGCAAAACAAAUUGUAAAUUGGUAUUUUCUUACAAAAAUCCCUGAGAAAUGCACAUGACAUUGUUACUCGCUGAUACGAUCUUACAUUUCAUCAGAUGUUUUCAGCUUCCUUCUCUUAUCUCAGAAUAUACCUCCCUCCUUUGUAUUUACAAGGCCUCAGUAUAACAAACUGAAGCUUUAUCAUGCUUGUUGUGUUAGUUUGAUAGAUCUUAGUGUAGUAAAUCUUCUUGAUCUUGUCUCAUGUCUAAUUCCCUGCUUUAGCCCAGCAGAGCCCCACCUUAUUAGCCCCAUGUUAUUUUAGCAUUGAUAUGUGUCACAUAAUACAGUUGAAGUUGGAAGUUUACAUACACCUUAGCCAAAUACAUUUAAACUAAUGUUUUUCACAAUUUCUGACAUUUAAUCCUAGUAAAAAUUCUCUGUUUUGGUCAGUUAGGAUCACCACUAUAUUUUAAGAAUGUGAAAUGUCAGAAUAAUAGUACAGAGAAUUAUUUAUUUCAGCUUUAAUUUCCUUCAUCACAUUCCCAGUGGGUCAGAAGUUUACAUACACUCAAUUAGUAUUUGGUAGCAUUUCCUUUAAAUUGUUUAACUUGGGUCAAAUGUUUCAGGUAGCCUUCCACAAGCUUCCCACAAUACGUUGGGUGAAUUUUGGCCCAUUCCUUCUGACAGAGCUGGUGUAACUGAGUCAGGUUUGUAGGCCUCCUUGCUCGCACACGCUUUUUCAGUUCUGCCCACACAUUUUCUAUGGGAUUGAGGUCAGGGCUUUGUGAUGGCUACUCCAAUACCUUGACUUUAUUGUCCUUAAGCCAUUUGCCACAACUUUGGAAGUAUGCUUUGGGUCAUUGUCCGUUUGGAAGAUCCAUUUGCGACCAAGCUUUAACUUCCUGACUGAUGUCUUGAGAUGUUGCUUCAAUAUAUCCACGUAAUUUUCCUGCAUGAUGUCAUCUAUUUUGUGAAGUGCACCAGUCCCUCCUGCAACAAAGCACCUCCACAGCAUAAUGCUGCCACCCCCGUGCUUCACGGAUUGGAUGGUGUUCUUCGGCUUGCAAGACUCCCCCUUUUUCCUCCAAACAUAACGAUGGUCAUUAUGGCCAAACAGUUAUAUUUCUGUUUCAACAGACCAGAGGACAUUUCUCCAAAAAGUACGAUCUUUCAUGUGCAGUUACAAACCGUUGUCUGGCUUUAUGGCGGUUUUGGAGCAGUGGCUGCUUUCUUGCUGAGCGGCCUUUCAGGUUAUGUCGAUAUAGGACUCGUUUUUCUGUGGAUAUAGAUACUUUUGUACCUGUUUCCUCCAGCAUCUUCACAAAGUCCUUUGCUGUUGUUCUGGGAUUGAUUUGCACUUUUCGCACCACAGUACGUUCAUCUCUAGGAGACAGAACGCGUCUCCUUCCUGAGCGGUAUGAUGGCUGCGUGGUCCCAUGGUGUUUAUACUUGCGUACUAUUGUUUGUACAGAUGAACGUGGUACCUUCAGGCGUUUGGAAAUUGCUCCCAAGGAUGAACCAUACUUGUGGAGGUCCACAAAUUUUUUCUGAGGUCUUGACUGAUUUCUUUUGAUUUUCCCAUGAUGUCAAGAAAAGAGGCACUGGGUUUGAAGGUAGGACUUGAAAUACAUCCACAGGUACACCUCCUAUUGACUCAAUUAGCCUAUCAGAAGCUUCUUAAGCCGUCACAUAAUUUUCUGGAAUUUUCCAAGCUGUUUUAAAGACACAGUCGACUUGGUGUAUGUAAACUUCUGACCCACUGGAAUUGUGAUACAGUGAAUUAGAAGUGAAAUAAUCUGUCUGUUAACAAUUGUUGGAAAAAUUACUUGUGUCAUGCAGAAAGUAGAUGUCCUAACCGACUUGCCAAAACUGUAGUUUGUUAACAAGACAUUUGUGGACUGGUUGAAAAUCGAGUUUUAAUGACUCCAACCUAAGUAUAUGUAAACUUCCGACUUCACCUGUACAGUACACUACCGGUCAAAAGUUUUAGAACACCAAGUGUGUGCAAAGCUGUCAUCAAGGCAAAGUGUGGCUACUUUGAAGAAUCUCAGAUUUUAAAUAUAUUUUGAUUUGUUUAACACUUUUUGGGUUACUACAUGAUUCCACAUGUGUUAUUUCAUAGUUUUGAUGUAUUCACUAUUAUUCUACAAUGUAGAAAAUAUAAAAAAAUAUUGAAAAACCCUUGAAUGAGUAGGUGUGUCCAAACUUUUGACUGGUACUGUAUAUAACUGUAAAUAUUGAUCACAUUCCUUCUGUAUAGUCAUAUAUUUUGAUACAUUGAAUGUUGAUAUUGUGAACCUAUGUUAUUUUUACCUCCUGUUUCAGGGAGUGAUGUCACUGAGUACUCCAUAUAUAUAGGACCUUCCAUCUGGGAUAUGGAUGCCUGAUGACCGAAGGGUCAAAAUGUUAUUGUAAUACAAUCACCUGGGAGAAUGAGCAGCAGCGUGCAGCAUUUUAAUUUACAUUUUUCAUGAAUUUACCUACAACUCUAGCACUUGUAAAAAAAAACAACCUGGAUGUGCGUAUGUUUAUCAACUUUUGUUGUAGGUGAUACACAAUCUGAUUCCACCAGCAUGUGUUUCCAUCCCCAAGCUCUGCACAAGGUGAAGAUUCCCAAAACACAAGACAAAGACACAUCUACAAAAAUCCCCUGCUACUAUUGACAAGAAUGAUGUGUCAAAGUCAUUGGACUGCGGGAGGUUUACAGAUAGAUAUUUGAGAUGAGGAAGGGGGUUGUGCUUAGAGACAGUAAAUGUAUUGUGUAUGAGAAUGAUUGAAAGGUGCCAUUUCCCCUCAAUCUCCCAUACACAGCAAUACAUACUGUGUAAGAACUGCUCUCCUAAGACUUUUCACACCUUCUGCCGCCCCCCAGAUGUUGAAUGAUCUUUCCUUCAAAAGCAGCUCCCAAUGUCCCUCAUUGUCCCUAAACAAUACACUAGUCUGUCUCUUAACACACAAGUCCCAAUCGGUUGACACCUUUACAUUUACAUUUUUAACAUUUAAGUCAUUUAGCAGACGCUCUUAUCCAGAGCGACUUACAAAUUGGUGCAUUCACCUUAUGACAUCCAGUGGAACAGCCACUUUACAAUAGUGCAUCUAAAUCUUUUAAGGGGGGGGUCAGAAGGAUUACUUUAUCCUAUCCUAGGUAUUCCUUAAAGAAGUGGGGUUUCAGGUGUCUCCGGAAGGUGGUGAUUGACUCCGCUGUCCUGGCAUCGUGAGGGAGUUUGUUCCACCAUUGGGGUGCCAGAGCAGCGAACAGUUUUGACUGGGCUGAGCGGGAACUGUACUUCCUCAGUGGUAGGGAGGUGAGCAGGCCAGAGGUGGAUGAACGCAGUGCCCUUGUUUGGGUGUAGGGCCUGAUCAGAGCCUGAAGGUACUGAGGUGCCGUCGUAGGCAAGCACCAUGGUCUUGUAGCGGAUGCGAGCUUCAACUGGAAGCCAGUGGAGAGAGCAGAGGAGCGGGGUGACGUGAGAGAACUUGGGAAGGUUGAACACCAGACGGGCUGCAGCGUUCUGGAUGAGUUGUAGGGGUUUAAUGGCACAGGCAGGGAGCCCAGCCAACAGCGAGUUGCAGUAAUCCAGACGGGAGAUGACAAGUGCCUGGAUUAGGACCUGCGCCGCUUCCUGUGUGAGGCAGGGUCGUACUCUGCGGAUGUUGUAGAGCAUGAACCUACAGGAACGGGCCACCGCCUUGAUGUUAGUUGAGAACGACAGGGUGUUGUCCAGGAUCACGCCAACAAAGGCCUGUUGCGCUACGUCCCUUCCACAUAAAAAUGUAAAAUGGUAACACAACAACCUUGUCUUUCCAGGUGACGUGUAGUACGAGUAAAUCUUCUGCAAGAGGUCCAAACAGUUGGUGGUUAAGGUCUACGAGCCCUACACCAGAGCUGGCCAUAAACCACAAACGGGACAAGACCAUUCGCCACAAGCACUCUGCUUCCACAGCCCACCAUUGCCAGUGUACCUAUGCUGCAUAAAGGACCCAAAAAUAAAUAUGGAUAUUUUAGAUACAUUUUCAAAAUGUGUCUGCAUUUAUGGAUUCACAGAAGAUAUUUAUAUAAGCCUUACAGGGCUCUGUAGCAUCAAACAGGGGAGUGUACAAUUAAACUGACAGUAGAAUUACUUAAAAAAAUAUAUGUUUACGUGACUUAUUUUGUUGAUUCCCCAUAUUUAUUUAAGUCAGAAGACAAACAUCCAGACUUUCCAAGGACCAUGUCAACGUCCUCUGUCAAAUAUACAUGCAUUUGCCUCCCUCUGGUGAUCAGCUGCAUCAUUACAUGCAUUUAUAUCACUUCACUGCAACAUUGCGUCAAAGGGGCGGUCAUUAGAAAAAACAUUUACUGAGCUUGACUGCUUCACGGCACUGACAUUGCAAAGCAAUUACUGAAUUUGUCUCGAGCAGGCGGAUCAAAAUAUGUAACUUUAAUACACUACAUAUACAAAAGUAUGUUGACGCCCAUUGAAAUUAGUGGAUUCGGCUAUUUCAGCCAAAACCGUUGCUGAUAGGUGUAUAAAAUCAAGCACACAGCCAUGCAAUCUCCAUAGACACACAUAGGCAGUAGAAUGGCCUUGCUGAAGAGCUCAGUGACUUUCAAUGUGGCAAAGGAUGCUACCUUUCCAACAAGUCAGUUUGUCAAAUUUCUGCCCUGCUAGAGCUGCACCGGUCAACUCUAAGUGCUGUUAUUGGGAAGUGGAAACGUCUAGGAGCAACAACAGCUCAGCUGCGAAGUGGUAGGCCACACAAGCUCACAGAACGGGACCACCGAGUGCUGAAAAAAAUAAUCUAUCCUCAGUUGCAACACUCACUACCGAGUUCCAAACUGCCUCUGGAAGCAACGUCAGCUCAAUAACUAUUCGUCUGGAGCUUCAUGAAAUGGGUUUCCAUGGCCGAGCAGCCACAUACAAACCUAAGAUCGCCAUCCGCAAUGCCAAAUGUUGGCUGGAGUGGUGUAAAGCUCGCCGCCAUUGGACUCUGGAGCAGUGGAAACGCAUUCUCUGGAGUGAUGAAUCAUGCUUCACCGUCUGGCAGUCCGACGGACAAAUCUGGGUUUGGCGGAUGCAAGGAGAACACUACCUGCCGCGAUGCAUUGUGCCAACUGUAAAGUUUGGUGGAGGGGGAAUAAUGGUCUGGGGUUGUUUUUCAUGUUUUCGAGCUAGGCCCCUUAGUUCCCCUUAGUUCUAGACUAUUCUGUGCUUCUAACCUAGUGGCAACAGUUCGUGGAAGGCCCUUUCCUGUAUCAGCAUGACAAUGCCCCCAGUGCAGAAAAUGAGGUCCAUACACAAAUGGUUUGUUGAGAAAUGUAUAAGCCUUAAUUCUUGAUUACCACAUUCAAGGUCAAAUAACAUCCACUCACUUGGGAGUAUACUAACUUCAGGUCCAAAGCUCUACCACUCCUUAACAUUAAGCUUCGGCAUGUAAACUAUUUAAACUACAUAAACAUGUACUCCAAUAAUCUAAUGUGGUCCCCUGAUUAUGUGAAAGGAACUUUAACUGCAGAGUUCAUGCACUAAUACCACAGGCUGACAUCAGCAUCACCAGUCCCCACCUAAAUUAUUAACCAUGUCAUUACAACACACAAUUUGUGCCUAGUUUGCAUGACUUUUGCAUUACUUUUGCGUGUACACUUGUGGGAGUGAAAGCACAACCAUACCUACACAACCAUAAUAAGACGAUCCUUAUUAUUUCUGAUAACAAAUGCCAUCAUUAUGCAAUCACAAUUGAGCAGGUCACAUAUAAGAGUGAUAAAUCGUUCACGCUGCUCAUUCUGUGGAUAAGCGAAUGCUCCUACCACUGUCUCUCCCAAGCAUCUUCGACCAGUGUUUUGGAUUACUGCCCCACGUGUUGCUUGUAUUGUUAGAGAAUUUCCAGUCAUCUGGUGAUUUUCAGUACGCGUACUGUUUUCUUUGAAGUAGGAAGUAGAAUCGAUAUAAGGUUAAAUAUUAGACAUGUGUAAGCAGAAUGAAGGCGGAGCCCAUGUGAAUGUACAAAGCUGGAUCAACAUCGACUUAAACAUUAGACGUGUAAAUAACAGAACGUAAGCAGAAUCCGUGUGGAUGAGGCAAGGUAGAUCAACACAGUCGUGACUGGUCUGGGUCAUAUCUGAUCUUGUGAAGGCUACUGAACAUGCACAUGGGUUAAUCAUACAUAGACAACAUCGGCCUGAACUUGUGAAGACCUUUGGACAGGAACAUUAGCUAAUCAGUUAUAGGCACCAUUAGACUUGCAGUAGGAGUGUGCAUGUCUGUGUGUCACGUCACCAAUAGAAUCUAUGCCCUAAUGUCUGAGCCAAUAAGAAAGGCAGCAAGAUUAGGGUGGCCAAGGCGUGACAAUGAGUGGAGUGACAAUGAGUAAGAGUAAAACUGUAUAAAAGCAGAGUACUGAAAAUGGAGAGAUCAGUUCUUCCAUGGAAUUGCAAGCUCCGUUAUCUGAGAAAUAUUUGAUUCAAUAUUUCCACGACAGUAUCCACAGCGCUAUCUUGCAAGUUGGUGAUCUCCCACUUGUUUAUUAAAGUGCAGCCAGGAUCAAUACAGACCUGAGCCCUAGGACCAUGCGUCAGGACUACCGGGCAUGAUGACUCCUUGCUGUCCCCAGUCCACCUGGCCUUGCUGCUGUUCCAGUUUCAACUGUUCUGCCUGUGGCUAUGGAACCCUGACCUGUCCACCGGACGUGCUACCUGUCCCAGACCUGCUGUUUUCAACUCUCUAGAGACCGCAGGAGCGAUAGAGAUACUCUUAAUGAUCGGCUAUGAAAAGCCAACUGACAUUUACUCCUGAUUAUUAUAUGACCAUGCUGGUCAUUUAUGAACAUUUGAACAUCUUGGCCAUGUUCUGUUAUAAUCUCCACCCGGCACAGCCAGAAGAGGACUGGCCACCCCUCAUAGCCUGGUUCCUCUCUAGGUUUCUUCCUAGGUUUUGGCCUUUCUAGGGAGUUUUUCCUAGCCACCGUGCUUCUACACCUGCAUUGCUUGCUGUUUGGGGUUUUAGACUGGGUUUCUGUACAGCACUUCGAGAUAUUAGCUGAUGUACGAAGGGCUAUAUAAAACAAACUUGAUUUGAUUUGAUUUGAAGAUGUCUCCUUAUAAUGUUGUUCACCACUGUAGAACAUCAAGAGUGGGAGUGUCCAUUUUUGUUCAAAAAUGUUUUAAAUUCUUUGUAAGAGAAGACCUCGCACUCACAUCUGAUAACAUUGAUGUUGAUUCUCUUUUCAUGCAAAUUCCCUCCUGUUCAUUUUUUGGUUGUAAAAAAAGUGGUAAUUGGAUGCACCCGAGUCUGACAUUGGUAGUUUCAUUGAUAUCCUUGCAUCAACCUUGGAUUUGAUUAAUAAUGAAGAUAACAUUUUCUUUCUAUUGGGUGAUUACAACAUACAUUUAUUUAAAAGUGAGAACCACUCACUGACAUCUUAUUUUUGUAAUCCUUUAUACUCCAGCUUUAUGUUUCCCCUCAUCUAUAAGCCCACAAGAGUGACCAGUUCAUCUGACACCCUUAUUGAUAAUAUAUUUUACAAAUUCUUUGAAUAAUGUGGUUACUACAUGUAUACUGGAUACUGACAUUUGUGACCACUUUCCAAUUGUCCGCUUCUCUUCGGCAGCUGGAAAUAAUAGAUGGGAAUAGUUAAUAGCAUUAAAUGUAGAGUAUUUAACAAAAGUAAUUGUGAGCUCUUUAAGAUGUUGAUUGAUGAUAUUUCAUGGGACAUUUUUUAUAAUCAGGCUGAUGACCUAAAUAAAGAUUGCGCCGAAGAACA